rnacentral:rRNA from 1 species
AGCGGCGGACGGGUGAGUAACGCGUGGGUAACCUGCCUCAUACAGGGGGAUAACAGUUGGAAACGGCUGCUAAUACCGCAUAAGCGCACAGUACCGCAUGGUACCGUGUGAAAAACUCCGGUGGUAUGAGACGGACCCGCGUCUGAUUAGCUAGUUGGUGGGGUAACGGCCUACCAAGGCGACGAUCAGUAGCCGACCUGAGAGGGUGACCGGCCACAUUGGGACUGAGACACGGCCCAA